GACGAACGCUGGCGGCGUGCCUAAUACAUGCAAGUCGAGCGAACUGUCCAGGAUCUUGCCCCUCCGACAUUUUAGCCGGAGGGGGGAGAAAAACGCGGAUACCACCUCUACAAGAGAGCGGGAACACAGGGAAAAAGGAGUUCUAACCCGGUAUAAUCUGACUUCGCGUGGUUCAGUAUCGAAAGAGGCUUUUCCAGCUACCUCUAAUUGGAUCCGCGGCGCAUUAGCUAGUUGGUAGGGUAACGGCCUACCAAGGCGACGAUGCGUAGCCGACCUGAGAGGGUGAUCGGCCACACUGGAACUGAGACACGGCCCAGACUCCUACGGGAGGCAGCAGUAGGGAAUCUUCCGCAAUGGGCGAAAGCCUGACGGAGCAACGCCGCGUGAGUGAUGAAGGUCUUCGGGUCGUAAAGCUCUGUUGUCAGGGAAGAACGAAUGUGGGAGUAACUACGCUCGUCAUGACGGUACCUGAGCAGAAAGCCCCGGCUAACUACGUG
rnacentral:rRNA from 1 species